CUCUCCAUCUCUUCAUUACCACCAAACCAAAAAAAUCUAUUGUGGUUCACGCCGCCAUCACUGAUUCACCAUUUCCCUCACCACCACCAUGACAAGCACCAUCUCAAACAAUAAAAACGAAGUAACCUCACACCUCAGUAAUUCCAGCAGCACCGAAAUUAUGCUUUUUAGAGUUUUUCACUUUUCAGUUCUUCAAUUUUGCUCUGUAUAAAGAUUUUUAGGGAUUGUUAGAAGUUUAAAUGGCGAUUUUUCCACGAAAGAGCUAAAAUCAAAGACCGGCUACGGGAAUAGUCAACAACGUAAAAACACGCCAUAACCGAAAACAGCCGGUGUUAAGACAUUCAAUAUCGCAAUCAUCAUCUACGUGGAAUUUUGAACUGCAGUUCAUGGGAAUUGAUAGGCACUUAUAUAAGGACCCAGAUGAUGGAAUCUUGGCCAUUCUUUGCAACACCAAAGUAUAUAGUUGUAAAUAUCAAUAUCUGUUAUUGCUUGCUGCAGCAUGGAGUGAAGAGAUUCAACUCUCCUUUUUCAGCUGGUCACUGGACAUGUUUGGAAGGGAAUUACCUUUGGUUGAUUCAAGAGUCCAGUUGAAACUCCACUGAAGUACCAUGGCUUGUUGAAAACUACAUGAAGAAGGAUAUUACACUUUGUAGAAACCAAAUCUGUUAAGGGAUCGGAUGAUUACUUUAUGUAUCAGAUCUUCAAGAUACAACAGUCUUAGUCGCUCAUUUUAUCUAUUGAUGAGGUAAUGUUGUUCAUGAUGCUGAACAGUAAAACUAGGAUGGGUCAUGGCGUUUGUAUUGGACAGUCAUUCCUCCUGCUUUUCAAAGAAAGCCAUCUCCAGGCCUCCAACUGAAAAAGGUUUCUGUCAGGUGUGCGUCGGACUGCCACUUAAUGUGUUGGCCAUUUUUUUAUUUUCAAGCGUUCACUUAAUAUGAUGUCAUUGUUGUAUUUUUAGUAUUUGUUUUUAUGUCAUUCGUCGCAACCACUGUAUUAUCUUAGAAAAAAAAAACAUAUAUCUUUUGUAUUUGAAAUUUAUUAAAUAUCUAGUGUUUU